GGUUUAAUUCGAAGCAACGCGAGAACCUUACCAGGCCUUGACAUGCAGAGAACUUUCAGAGAUGGAUUGGUGCCUUCGGGAACUCUGACACAGGUGCUGCAUGGCUGUCGUCAGCUCGUGUCGCGAGAUGUUGGGUUAAGUCCGUAACGAGCGCAACCCUUGUCCUUAGUUACCAGCACGUUAUGGUGGGCACUCUAAGGAGACUGCCGGUGACAAACCGGAGGAAGUGGGGAUGACGUCAAGUCAUCAUGGCCCUUACGGCCUGGGCUACACACGUGCUACAAUGGUCGGUACAAAGGGUUGCCAAGCCGCGAGGUGGAGCUAAUCCCAUAAAACCGAUCGUAGUCCGGAUCGCAGUCUGCAACUCGACUGCGUGAAGUCGGAAUCGCUAGUAAUCGUGAAUCAGAAUGUCACGGUGAAUACGUUCCGGCCUU
rnacentral:rRNA from 1 species